ensembl:lncRNA
GUUUAUUCUUUCAAUGGGCAAGAUUAUGAAAGAUGAUUUUCUUUUUUUUGUUAUUGUUUGAAGGCAGGUAGAAUUGAUUCUACCAAACUACCGACAGAUGCUAAACAAGCGUAUUGUCUAAGGUGCUAUCUCAGAGGAAAACAUUGCCUCUUAUUGUGGAGUGCGGUCAUUACUUCUCAUGCAGCUGUUUGUCAAGUUGUUUGGCAGCCUUUUGAUGCUGCUGUGGCCUCAAAAGGGUUAACAGCAAGUCAGCGGUGCUGCUGUAAUCCUCCAGGACUACCAGCAUGCUGCACUGUUGUUGUGUCAGACCGGGGGGGUUCUGGAGGAAGCUGCGCUAGCUGUGGCAGCUGCCUCAGUCACGUCUGUCAUUUUGGGUUUCUGUUUUCAACAACAUGGCUGACGUAGCAGGUAAAGCAAAAGACCACCGUAGCCUGUACAGAACCAUGUUCUUCCACUCCCUCUCACAUCCAGAAAACGCCCUACCUCCUCAGAAAACGAACGCCGUGCGUCAGGAACACGUCCUCGUUGGGGGGAAAGCAAAAACGUGUGUUUGACAAACAACCCUUGUCCUGUCUGCAGUGGUGGAAACAAUGCAGGAAAAGACCGUGGAAAGGGCCAUAGCAGAUCCAAGGUUGCAGAGGUUUUGUGUGUGUUGUCACUGGAUGCCUGAAGAAAAUGGCAGAGAGAAAGGACCGUUCCAGGGAACUGGUUGCUUUGUGCCCCAGCUGAAGGAAAAGAGGCAAGGAAGUCACUGCACAUUCCUGUUGCCUGAGGAGAACCUUGGCCAGUCUCUGCUGAGCUCAUACUACUUGGGUAUGAAAGUUCCUAAGAGAAGAGGAGAAGAUCUCUCUGUCCACCACCUCUGGAACUACACUGACCUGAUCUCCAAAAAGUGUAAAAAUAACAGUGCUAUUCUUUUGAGGGAGAAGUAUGAUAGAAGACUCAAAUAACCUUGUAGCACUUACCUGAAUAUUGCCCUGAGGGAAGUUGAGUGCUGGAUGGGACAAAUUGCUAGAGAAGAGGCAAAGAAGAGGAACAAAUGUUGAGAAAUAAAGGCUCACAUUCCUGACUGCUAGGGUACUGGGGAACCUUCUACUAGAGCAAGGAAGGCAGCGAAGCUUGAACUAAAGAUCUGAAGCACUUUGCUGUGUCAUCUAUCUUCAUUGUCCCUUCUGGGAGCCACAGAAAUGGUACACACCCCAUCUGGGAACCAAAAACACCUAGCAACUGCAGCCUGAAUGAGGGCUUGAAAUGCUCUGCCAUUUCAUUUAUCUUCUCCGUCCCUCCUGGCAACCAGAGAAACAGUGGCUGAAGGCACACCCCACCCAGAAACCAGAGACAGCAAGUGCUGUACCCUGAGCAGAAGCCUGAAAGCAAGCCAUUCCAUUCAUCCCCUGCUUCCUGUCUGCAGCACUGUACCUGGCACAGGAGUCACUUAGAAUAUGCAAACUAGGAGGAUGGAACUUCCAGAAAUUCUCACAGAGAAAAUAUAAGGUGACAGAAGCAUACAUCCGAACACCCAAACUGACCUUCUGUGAAUGAGAUAUUCCCCUAACUUUCAUUGAUAUCCCCACUGGUUUUUAAACUCACCCAUUUGUUUUACAAAACAGUUCUCAUCCACACCAAGAAAAGGAAGUGAUGUUCCAGUGAUAAGUCAGCACCAGUUUGAAUAGAAUCAAGGCAUUCAGUGAAGUGGCUAUUUUUUUUUUCUCUCUGAUGUCAAUAUCAGUGUCUAGGGUCUGUUGGUGACCAAUGGAGUAAGCUGAAAGGGACAACAAUGUGAUCACACAAUAUAAUCCCUCUUCUAGCUUUGCACUUUGGGGGUUUUAAAGAUAUAUUUUUUUUGAAAGUUAGAUAAUACCUGUAUAUAUGCCUCCAAAACCUGUAAUCAGGGGCGUGUAGCAGACAGAUAUACCAGGGAUGUGAAGAGAUUUUAGUCUCAUCUUCAUUACUAUUGGCUGUAUGGUUCACAUAAGGCUGUCUGUCCCUCUGUAAUGAUGGAAGCUGUUGUAUUUAAGAUUCCAGAGUCAUGCAUUGCAGAACUAGAAAGGCAGGUGGUGACAGUGGCAGAGAAAAGCAGAAAGAGAAAAGCAGGUCCUAUAAAGAAAAAGAAAAAGAAAAAGAAAAAGAAAAAGAAAAAGAAAAAGAAAAAGAAAAAGAAAAAGAAAAAGAAAAAGAAAAAGAAAAAGAAAAAGAAAGGAAAAAGAAAAAAAAAAGAUGCAUUUUAACCUAGGAGAUUAUAAUUUAG